rnacentral:lncRNA from 1 species
AUCUAAUUAUCCAUUAUAUUAAAUGAAUGAUUCGGAUAAAAACUCUUAUAUCUAAGGGUUCAUACUGGUUCCACUAUCAAUGUUGUAAAAAUAGAUACAGCGUCAUAGAGAAAUCUGAAGAACAAUUGAAAUAAGUUGAAGAAAAGUAUGUCAUAUGUGUGUCAAUUGUCUGUCUUGUCUGUGAGUCACAUACUAUUUUAUUUAUUUUUCUUACUUAUUUUAUUAAAUCUUAUUCCUCUUUAUGUGCUCACUAUAAAACAUUUCAUUUGUUGGGGGUUGGGCCGAUGAUAUAUAGGUACCCAAUCUAUAAAACUCAAGUAAUUUUCCUUUGCAACUCAACAAUUCUUUUACUAUCGUUGGAUUUCAGUCCUUUUGCCUAACACGUCUUAAUUGUUCAAUUACCACAUUUUACCUAUUAGAAUAUAACUUUAAUAUCGUUUGUGAAAUAUAAGUGUGCAACCCAAGAGGGGGGGGUGAAUUGAAAUUUUAAAAAUUAUCCUAGCAAAUCCACACAACAAGCAAUCCAAUGUCUUAAUGAAAAUGAAAGCAAUAAGUUCAAUAAAAGCACAAUAACUAAUGAGUAAGGGAGAAGAGAAACAAACACACGAAUUUUUACGUGGUUCGGCAAACCCCGCCUACGUCCACGCCUCCAAGCAAUCCAAGUUUGAAGAUUUCAUUAUCCAAGCCUUUCCAAGGCUUCAACAUUUUACAAUUGACUUCAAGGUGUCAAUGAACCUUUACAACAAAGAGAUUAUCUCCCAAUCUCUUCACUCAAGUGUCUCACACACUCAAACUCUUACAAUUAAGAUGAAGAAAUGAAAGUUACAAUGAAACUCACUCAAUGAGUAGAUAUUCAAAAAUGAAGAACAAGAAAUGAUUCAAUGUUUUGUGUUUUGCAAGUUGAAGGCUCAAGAUAUCUCGUGUGUUUUUUGUUUUUGCUUGUUGGAGAGCUUGAAAAUGAGUUGGAUUUGAGUUCUUAUAAUUUGAGCUCAAAAACUAGCCGUUAUGCACAUUUUGGUCGUAACCGGAUUACCGGUUAUGGACAUCCGAAUAGCCGCUUAAUGUUACCGUUACAACCACAAUUUUGAAUUUCUGAACAUCCGGUGUGCUGCUUUGUCAAAUCCGGAUAGCCGCUUAUGCUCAGAAGCUUACUGCCCAACAACUAGAUUACCGUUUGUCAGGAUCCGGUUAGCCGCUUGCUACAGUAACUGCUACAGUGAAAUAUUUUCUAAUUUUACAGUUUGACCUCAAAAUUUUAUAAAAUUGUAUUAUGGCCCAAAACGUUAUGAAACUUUACAAAAAGGUCCAAUUUCAGAAUUUCUAAAUAUUACUUUGUCAAUCUUAAAGCUUUCUGAAAUUAUGAUUUCACCCAAACUAUGUGAAAUUAUAGAAUGACCCAAAAAUAUUUAAAUAGUUUCAAAUAGAUCCAAAUCCGAAAUUUAAAACAAUAUCAAAGGUUUUAAAAUACAUUCAUUUUAUUCCAAAACACUUUGAUUCCAUAACAUCAUUUUCUUAUUAUAAAAGCGCAAUUCAUAAAUCUUUGUUUAAUCAAUACAUGUGGUUUGUUAUCAUCAAAAUCAAUAUUUAUAGCCAUAUAGGCUAAUAGUUUGUUCAUCGUACUUCUGAAUUAUUUCAUUACCACAUUCUGUCUACUAGAGUUUUGGCUCUAAUACGACUUGUUUGUUUCACUACCACAUCUCAACUAGAGUUGUUUCAUUACCAUAUUCUUGCUACUAAAGUUUAGCUCUAAUACCACUUGUUCGUUCCACUUUGUCACCUUGCUCGUUCUACUAAGUUGCUUAAUUACCACAUUCUUGUUUGCUCAUUCCACUACCACAUCUCGACUAUUAGAAUCUUUGGCUCUGAUACCAUUUGUUCGUUCCACUUAGUUACCUUGAUCAUUCCACUAAGUUGUUCCAUUACUAUAUUCCGACUUGUUCAUUCAACCACUACAUCUCAGCUACUAGAAUCUGAUACCACUUAUUUAGAGUGCAUUUCGGCUUGCUCAUUCCACCACCACAUCUCGGCUACUAGAAUUUUUGGCUUUGAUAUCGCUUGUUCGUUCUACUUAGUUACCUUGCUCAUUCCACUAAGUUGUUCUAUUACCACCUUUCCGCUUGCUUAUUCCACCAGUACAUCUUGACCACUAGAAUAUGAUACUACUUAUUUAGGAUGUUGGGCCAAGAAUUUCUAAGUAUCCAAUCUAAAAAACUAGUAUAUUGGUUGGAAGAACUAUCCUACUUAUAAACUCAAUUAACUCUCCUUUAUUAGUUAAUUUAGGACACAACUCAACAUUAAUGAAUAUUUUAUAAUAUGUAUAUUUGAUUUUUAGUUAUCAAUUCUUUAUAUAUCAAUAUAUAGUGAUUAAAUUAAUAAUCAUAAAUUUAUGUUACUUGUGUGGCGUAAUUUAUUUGUGUCAUGCAUAAUGCGGGGUGUGUAUACAUAUUUAUAUAUUAUAUUUUUAAAGUGAUGGUCAUUCAUAUAGACAUAUGCAAAUAAUUAGGCAUGCGUGGAUGCUAAAAGAAUUUGCACUUUAUUCUUUUAAAGUAUUUUUGGGAUUCUAAAUUAGAAUUGCCCACAUUUAUUAAUGCAAACAAUAGAUAGUUAUAGUUUAAAUUAUACCUGUUCAUUUUCAUUUAAUUUUAAUAAUAAUAGAAAAAUUUAGAUACAAGCAAUAUCUGUAUUUUUUUUGGGAAAUUAUCAUUUUACUACCAAAGUUAUUCUGACAUUUCAUAUCAGUACCAUAAUUUACCGAAAAGUGCAUUUUACUACAAAACGUUUGCGCCAUUAUCAAUUCACUACCAUUCCGUUAAGAGAAAGUUAAUGUUUAAUGGAAAUUGAGUUAAAAGUCGAUUUUAACCCCAAGAGUUUGGUAGUAAAAUGAUAAUUCCCCUAAAAACUUGAUAGUAAAAUAAUAAUUUAUCUAUCAAAUUAACAGACAAUUUUACUCUUACAGCUGGAAAUGUCUUUGAUACCCUUAUGACAUCAGCAAAUUUUUAACGUUCUUAACGAAAUGGUAGUGAAUUGAUAGCAACGCAAAUGUUUAGUAGUAAAAUACACUUUUCGACAAACCAUGGUACUAACAUGAAAUGUAAGAAUAACUUUAGUAGUAAAAUGAUAAUAUCCUUUUUUUUUGGGAAGCAACAAUAUUUAAUUAAAUGAUGAAUAAUUGAAAAAUGUGUUUCAACAAUAUUUAUGUUGAAUGCUGAAUAAUUGAAAAUUAUGUUUCAUAACAAAAAUCCACCAAACAUAUUUUCAUUGUUCUCAAAAAACAAAUAAACACAUUUUUAUUAUUCUUAUUUUCAUAUAUUACUUCAAAAACAAACUACCAUAUGUGUUGCCUUUUUUUUAAUAAGAAAGUAAAGCUUUCCAUUGAACAAACUUUGAGAAUAACAAUCUAAUUCGAACUAGAAAAAUUUCCGGCAAUAAAAUAGGGUUUUCAAAUUAUAAAACUACUUUAGUUAGAGAAUGGGGUAUAGCAUUGCCAGAAUUUCUUGUUUAAGAUAUUUCAAUUUUGCUACCUUUCAUAUUUUAAAGUGAGAUCCACUAUUUUUAGGGUGUGUUUUCUUACUGAAGUGAGAGGGAGGAGUGUAAAGUCCUCCCACUCCAGUGUUUACAUGCUUAUUUAAGAGUGGGAGUGGAAAUCUCACUCUCAUCGGGGGAGGUGGGAGUGGGAAUCUACUCCCAUCUAUUCUUUUUUUA